rnacentral:tRNA from 1 species
GAUUGUGGCUCAGAGGUACAGUGCUCUCCUGGCAUGCGUGGGGCACUGGGUUCGAUCCUCAGCACUACA